rnacentral:rRNA from 1 species
AUUGAACGCUGGCGGCAGGCCUAACACAUGCAAGUCGAACGGUAACAGGAAGACGCUUGCUUCUUUGCUGACGAGUGGCGGACGUGUGUGUCAUGUCUGUGAAACUGCCUGAUGGAGGGGGAUAACUACUGGAAACGGUAGCUAAUACCGCAUAACGUCGCAAGACCAAAGAGGGGGACCUUCGGGCCUCUUGCCAUCGGAUGUGCCCAGAUGGGAUUAGCUAGUAGGUGGGGUAACGGCUCACCUAGGCGACGAUCCCUAGCUGGUCUGAGAGGAUGACCAGCCAAACUGGAACUGAGCAACGGUCCAGACUCCUACGGGAGGCAGCAGUGGGGAAUAUUGCACAAUGGGCGCAAGCCUGAUGCAGCAAUGCCGCGUGUAUGAAGAAGGCCUUCGGGUUGUAAAGUACUUUCAGCGGGGAGGAAGAGAGUAAAGUUAAUACCUUUACUCAUUGACGUUACCCGAAGAAGAAGCACCGGCUAACUCCGUG